GUCCUCAGUAAGCCUAGAUGCUUAGGAUGUGCACAUGUGUUGUGCAUCAGGAAAAGGAUCUCCCUAGAAUUCCAAAUGAAAAGCCAUAGGCUUCUCUCAGAGCAAGUCCAGCGGGGACAAAAUGUCCCAGCCCUCAGUCCAAAAAACAUGCCGGGCCUCUGUCAAUCAAGUCCACCCCAUGAAAUGAACUGGUACCCAGCCCGAGCUGGGCAAUGGACCAGCCCAAAAUAGACUGAGCAAGAAGCCGGGUUAUUGGCCUGGCGCGUGCGAUUCACGCCGGUGUGGCGCGAGUGCCCGACACGGUUUCAGAGCCCGGGCCCGCCUGACAGGCGCACUGACUCCCCCCCCCCCGAGUUGGCGACGUGGUUUUUUUUCGGCCGUUGGAUUUCCAACGGCUAGUUUUCUAGACCGUUGGAUUUCCAACGGUAAAAAAAAUUUAAAUUUUACUUUUAACAUAGACCGUCGGAUCAAAGAUCAACGGUCCACGUUUUUUUUACAAAAAAGUAAAUAAAAAAAAAGGCCCCAACGGUCAGAAAUAUGACCGUUGGCCACGUGGCAAGUCCCUGGCUCUUGGAUUUGAAUAUUUUUCAAAUCCAACGGUCCAGAUUAAUUAACUAUAUUAAAAUUCAUUAAAAAUUAUUAAAAAAUACAGAAAAAUUAUUAAAAAAUACAGAAAAUUUUAAAAAAAUUACAGAAAUAUUUGAAAAAUGUUAUUUUUUUUCCUAUAAAUACCUAACCCUCAUCUUCCACCUUUACACCACAUUUCAAUAUUUUCUACACUUUCUAUACUAUCUACAUUUCAAUAUUUUCUACACUUUAAGAGAAAAAAAUGUCUUCGUGGAAGCUCAUUGAAGAUGUUACGUUGUGUGAAUGUUGGGUUCACACUACUCAUGAUCCGAUUACGGGUAAUGAGAUGGAUAAGCGAGAAAUGUGGAGUAAAAUUACGAAAACGUUUUGUGAUGUACAUGGAUAAAACGUCAGAACUAGUCAAGGUCUUCAAGGUCGUUGGAAAAAACUCAACGCAUCAUUUACUUGUUGGAAAAACGCCAUCUCUCAUGCUUCCGGUAACCUCCGUAGUGGGACAAGUUUAGCGAAUCAGGUAAUAAUAUUUUUAUUUAUUUAUAUGCAUUCCACCCACAUCAAUAUUUUGAUUUAUUUAAUUUCGUAUGUAAUUUUUAUGUUAUUUCUUAUGUAAUUUUUAUAUGCAUUCCACCCGCAUCAAAAUUUUAAUUUCUUAUGUAAUUUUUAUUUAAUUUCUUAUGUCAUUUUUAUGUAAUUUAUAUGCAUUCCACCCGUAUCAAUAUUUUGAAUUUAUUUAUUUGUGUUACACCCGCAUUUUUUAACACUAUGUUAUCCCACUUUUUUAUAGACACUACAAGCUCAAGCAUUCUACAAUUCAAAGAACGGGAACAAAUCAUUCACUAAAUGGGAAUGUUGGCAAAUUGUCAAAGAUUGCCCUAAAUACAAAAUUGUGGCAACUGGUCCAGAAGUUGUCAUGCACGGUAUGGGUCUACAUAGUUCUCCAGAACUAGACAUGGCCGAACAAGAAGCCAACACAUUUCAAGACACGGAAGGGACACCUGAACAAGUGCCUGAGACCCAACCGACUUGUCAGUCCCUAAGGCCUCUAGGUAAAAAGGCGUCAAAGAAAAAAGGUAGUUCUUCCAAAAAUGACUACACUAAAUAUAUGGAGGAACUUGCUCGCCAAGGUGAACUAAACUUGGCACGAGAAAAGGCUAGAGAUGAGGAAAAAGUUGCUGCUAUGGCAGCAAUAUUAGCAGCUACUGAGGCCCGUGAUGCGGUGGCUGAGAGACAAAGAGAAGUAGUUAAUCGAGAGAACGAGCUGGUUAGAGAAGCACUUCAUCGAGAAAAUGAAUUGCUUCGAGAAGAAAGGAUGGCUCAAGCAGAUCGUGACACUAUGAGCAAGUCUCUAGUAGGACUGUCUCCAAAUUCUAAAUAUUUUUGGACAUCGGAAAAAAGAGAUGUCAUGCGUAGGAGGCGUGCAAGAGAUGCGGAAACAAGUCAAAGGGGUUCUAGCUACACAAAUCAUGGCAACCAAGAUCCUAGCACCACAUAUCCUAACUCGAGAGACUUUAUUUAAUUUCUUAUGUAUUUUUAUGUAUUUUCUUUCUUUUUUCUAGUAGAACUUUAUUUAAUUUCUUAUGUUUUUUCUUUUUUUAGGUUUGAACUUUAUUUAAUUUCUUAUGUAUUUUUUAUGUAUUUUCUUUCUUUUUUCUUUUGAACUUUAUUUAAUUUCUUAUGUAAUUUCUUAUGUUUUUUCUUUUUUUAGGUUUGAACUUUAUUUAAUUUCUUAUGCAAUUUUAAUGUAAUUAUUUAUUUAUUUAUUUAUUUUUAAAAUUUUAUUUCUUUUGUACUUUAUUUAAACACAUGAAAUAAGAUUACAUAAACUCACCAAAUAAACUUAAAAACAAAACACACUACAUAGAAUUACUUAAACUUAAAAAAAAUACAAUUUAUUCUUCAACCACAAGCCUCAUUCUAAUUAUCUUCGCCUCCAUGCAAUCCCCACUGGUGCUCAAUCAAGUCAUUCUGGGUUAUGUGUCAGUAUGGCUCUUGCACAUUAGUGUACCGCUGAACGAUCAAUUCAUUGUAACGUCCAUCGCGCUCCAACGGCUCGUGUUGCACUGGAUCUUCGGUCCGGUCAUGAGCACAAUAGAUACGUGUUCUUGAGUUGUUCAUCGGAUCCGGCUCAUAUUCAUCGACGGCAUCAUAAUCAUACUCAUCUUCAACAAUCAUGUUGUGGAGAAUAAUACACGUCAUCAUGAUGGAUCGAAGAUCCUUGACAUCAAACAUUCUAGCUGCAACCCUGAUAAUCGCCCAACAAGCUUGCAGGAUACCAAAACAACGCUCGACAUCCUUCCUACACCCUUCUUGACAUUUUGCAAAGUGUUUUUCCUUUUCCGUCUGUGGAUGUGGCACUGUUUUGACAAAUGUUGACCACCUUGGGUAAAUGCCAUCUGCAAGGUAGUAUGAUCCCUCGUAUUGGGUACCAUUAACCCAAUAUGUGCAUCUCGGCGAGUUUCCUUGUAGCAAUUCGUCGAACACUGGAGAUUGGGCAAGGACAUUUAGGUCAUUCUGAGCUCCUGGAACACCAAAAAAAGCAUGCCAAAUCCAUGUAUCAAAUGAAGCCACCGCUUCCAAAAUGAUGCUUUUGGCUCCUUUUCUGUCGCCAUAUGCUCCUUGCCACGCACUUGGACAGUUUUUCCAAGUCCAGUGCAAGCAGUCAAUGCUUCCAAUCAUGCCAGGGAAGCCUCGCAUCUCACCCUUUCUCAGAAGCCUGCGCAUGUCCCUUGGCGUGGGUGUCCGGAGGUACUCAUUGGUGUAGAGGGCUUCAAUUGCAGAGCAAAACCGCAUCAGGGACUCCAGAACAGUUGUUUUUCCCAUCCUUGCGAUCUCAUCCACUUGAUCUGCAGAUGCUCCAUAUGCAAGCAUUCGCAAGGAUGCAGUAAUUUUUUGCUUGGGAAUAAGACCUAGAACAUGAAAAGCAUCCUCUUUUUGCACAAAGUAUGGAUCAUGGUUGCAAAUAUCACUCAUGAUUUUAUUGAACAAAGCUCGUUGCAUUCUAAAACGACGUCUGAAAAUAUGAUCAGGGAAUAUGCUAUUGGGAAUAAAAUAAUCUUCCAAUAGAUUUUUACCUCGUUUUUCCCUUUUUCUAUCAAGAUUUGCAACACGUCUUGGUUUGGCUAUCUGACCCACGGCUUCCAUGACACGGCGGGAAUGUGAGGCCUUCUGCCUUCUAUGGUGAUCAGCCUCAUCCUCCUCCAUGAAGAAAGCCUCAUCUCCACCUCCACCUUCCUCGAGAUUGGCCAAUUCUGCCUGUUGUGCCAACAACCUUUGUUGUUGCUCCUGCAACUGUUUAUACACCCUUCUUGAAGAAGACAUUGUAAUAAGAACUCAAGAUUUGAAAACGAUGAACAAGGAUUCUGAGCUAAAAAGAAGGAUUGAGCUGUAAAAAGAAAUGAUGAGCUUGGUGUGAGAAUGGAUGUAGGGAUGUAGGGUUUAUAUGGACAAAAAAAGAAAGGAUGAGGUUCUGGACAAUGCCACGUGGCAUGACGUGAUUGGUUGAAAAUCUUAUCGAAAUCUUGGCUAAAUUAUUGUAAAACGGAAGUGACACGUGGCGUGUAGGGAUUUGUUGAAAAUCUUAGCGGAAAUCUAUUCACAAAAUAGUACGUUCAGAUAAUGACACGUGGCGUGACGAGAUUGGUUAAAAAUCCUAUCCGAAAUUAAAACUAUUUUAUUUUUUUAUUCUUUUAGAAAAAAAUUUAAAAAAAUUUUAAAUGGACUGGGUGCCAGCGCAUUUUGUAGGGAUGGAGAUCGUUUGUGCCAGCGCAUUUUUUCACUAGGUGCCAGCGCAUUUUUUUAGGGGUGGAGAUGCCUUGGCCUAUUACUGUUCAUUGGAGUCUGUUACUGUUCAUUUGAGUGGAUAAAUGCGCUGGGUGCUGGCGCAAAGUCCUUAGGGGUGGACUUGCUCUCAUUGUUUUCAUUUCUGAUUGUAAUUAGAAACCCUAGGUCCCUUUCUCUCUAGAAAACGAAAGAGGUGUUCUCAUUUCUCUGAUCCUGUUCUCAAAUCAACACAAACACUUGGUAGAAGCCAUAGCCACUCCUCCAUCAACCAUGAGAAAUGUCUUCAUAACUCUCGACCUACACACAAUCUAGUCAUCAUUGUUGUUCAACACAAACCCUUCGCCUCCAUUUCUCUCGAUCUGAAACUGUAAUCCAUGUCGCCAUGGCUCUAGGUCCCGUUCAUGGAAGCCAUCAUCUGCACUGGAUCUCAAUAGCGAAACCCCUAAGUCAAAGGUAAAAA
rnacentral:lncRNA from 1 species